GGCUCCAGCUUCACAGCGCGGGAAAGGCACUCUUGUGCUACGGCACUGAAGUCAGGAGCUACGUUCAGACACCUGCCCUUCUGCAGCAGAAACUCUGUUUUGUGUUUGAAAUGAUCUACGGGAAACAAAAGAGAUACAAAAACCUGCCAUACAAACUGGGAACAUGGUGAGAGGCUCACAGCUCUUCUCGUCUUCCGCCAUCUUUAGCUUCAGCAGCAGCAACAAGCCUGGAAGAAGCAGUCUGAGGAGAGUGCACCAAGUUACGAGAUGAGUAUUAAAUCUAUUGCUCUAAUGUUAAUGUGAUGAAGGAUGUAUUUACUGAAAUAGCACGAAUGCAAGGGGAUUUUAGCACAGAGGAAAUAAGGCUUUUAAUUUCGCUGACGCCGGAAGUUGGAGUAGUCAGUGCG